AUGCUGCACCUCCUGCCGCAGGUACGGGGUCAUACGUGUGUCAUACGUGCGUCAUACGUGGGGUCGGGGGCGUGUCGGGCACGUGUGAAGUCGUGGGUGUGCUCAUAUGUGGGGUCAUGGGGGUGGGGGUGGUCACGGGUCAUGCGUGUGGUCAUAUGUGUGGUCACGGGUGUGUCUGGUCAUGUAUGUGGUCAUACAUGUGUCAUAUGUGGGGUCAUAGGUGUCUCAUACAUGUGUGAGGUCAUGGGUGUAUUCAUAUGUGGGGUCAUGGGGGUGGGGGUGGUCAUGUGUGGGGUCAUGCUGCACCUCCUGCCGCAGGUACGGGGUCAUACGUGUGUCAUACGUGCGUCAUACGUGGGGUCGGGGGCGUGUCGGGCACGUGUGAAGUCGUGGGUGUGCUCAUAUGUGGGGUCAUGGGUGCGUGUGUGGUCAUGUAUGCGGUCAGGUGUGUGGUCACAGGUCAUACAUGUAGUCAUAUGUGUGGUCAUGAGUGUGUCUUGUCAUGUAUGUGGUCACACACGUAACAUACAUGGGGUCAGGGGUGUGUGUGUGGUCAUACGUGUGGUCCUGCCACAGGUGGGGGUCAGAUGUGUGGGUCAUACGUGUGUCAUACGUGGGGUCAGGGGCGUGUCGUACGUGUGUGAGGUCAUAUGUGUGCACAUGUGUGUGCUCGUGGGUGCGUGUGGUCACAUAUGUGCUCAUACGUGUGAUCAUGGGCACGUGUGGUCACAUACGUGACUCCACAUGUGUGUAGAAAUGUGUGAGUGCCGCUACACGCGUGGUCAGAUGUGUGUCAGGUCACACGUGUGCACCCACAGACACAUGACCACACAUAUAAGCACGUGCAUGACACAGUCAUGAGCACAGUUAUGAUCACACAUGUAGCCAUAGCCACAUAUGUGACCACACACACAUGACCACAUGUAUGACCACAUACAUGACCUGACACACACAUGACUACAACCAUGACCACACACAUGGCCACAUACAUGACCAGACGCACACAUGACCACACAUACGACCACAUAGAUGGCCACAUACAUGACCAGACGCAUGCAUGAGCACACACAUGAUCACACACACGACCACACACACGGCCACAUACAUGACCAGACACACACACGACCACAUGUAUGACCACAUACAUGACCAGACGCACACAUGAACACACAUAUGACCACAUACAUGACCAGACGCACACGUGACCACACACAUGUCCACAUACAUGACCAGACACACACACGACCACACGUAUGACCGCAUACUUGACCAGACCACGUGUAUGACCACAUACAUGACCAGACGCACACACAAGCACACGUAUGACCACAUACGUGACAACAUACGCCCACACUCAGGCGUGGCACGCACCGAGGCGAGCGCACACGCGUGUAACACGCGUGUGCGCGUCAGUUCCUAGAGCUGCACGUGCACGAGGAGGCGGGGCAGGAGGAGCACACGCACGAGCACACGCGUGUGCAGCCGUGGCAGCUGCUGGUGGUGCUGGCGGCCAUCUUUUGCUUCUUCCUGAUGGAGAGGAGCCUCCGCAUCGCCGGCAGGGCGGCGAAGUGCUGGGUGAGGAUCGGGGGUAUU
rnacentral:lncRNA from 1 species